GAUGAACGCUGGCGGCGUGCCUAAUACAUGCAAGUCGAGCGAACAGACGAGGAGCUUGCUCCUCUGACGUUAGCGGCGGACGGGUGAGUAACACGUGGAUAACCUACCUAUAAGACUGGGAUAACUUCAGGAAACCGGAGCUAAUACCGGAUAAUAUAUUGAACCGCAUGGUUCAAUAGUGAAAGACGGGUUUGCUGUCACUUAUAGAUGGAUCCGCGCCGCAUUAGCUAGUUGGUAAGGUGACGGCUUACCAAGGCAACGAUGCGUAGCCGACCUGAGAGGGUGAUCGGCCACACUGGAACUGAGACACGGUCCAGACUCCUACGGGAGGCAGCAGUAGGGGAUCUUCCGCAAUGGGCGAAAGCCUGACGGAGCAACGCCGCGUGAGUGAUGAAGGUCUUCGGAUCGUAAAACUCUGUUAUUAGGGAAGAACAAAUGUGUAAGUAACUAUGCACGUCUUGACGGUACCUAAUCAGAAAGCCACGGCUAACUACGUGCCAGCCGCCGCGGUAA
rnacentral:rRNA from 1 species